UACGAAGGGUGCAAGCGUUACUCGGAAUUACUGGGCGUAAAGCGUGCGUAGGCGGUUUGUUAAGUCCGUUGUGAAAGCCCUGGGCUCAACCUGGGAAUUGCAGUGGAUACUGGCGAGCUAGAGUGCGGUAGAGGAUGGUGGAAUUCCCGGUGUAGCGGUGAAAUGCGUAGAGAUCGGGAGGAACACCUGCGGCGAAGGCGGGUUGCUGGGCUGACACUGACGCUGAUGCGCGAAAGCCAGGGGAGCGAACGGG
rnacentral:rRNA from 1 species